rnacentral:tRNA from 1 species
CAAGGAAUAGUUUAUUUAAAAUUUUAAUUUUGGAGAUUAAAGAAGAGAGAUUUCUCUUUUCCUUGA